CCAGGCCAGGCAGGUGCCAGCUGCCAAGCCAGCCAAUAAUAAAAUCGUAAAAACAAACCUAAAUAUUAUUUUCGCUCGAAAAUGGUGAGAAAAAAGAUAAUGUAUAACCCAGAUACGAAAAUGUGAUAUACCGGCAACACAGUGACCGGGCGAUGUAGGAGCCUGAUCUCCUGGAAGUGCGUGGAGUAAUGCAGGUCGAUGUUGAGAGGCGGCAGCUCAGCGCCGCGCCGCGCGUGCCGCGUCCACGCCGCGGCGCCGCUCAGGUGCGCGUGCAGCUGGCUGCCGAACACCACCACGCCCAGCUCGGGCAGACCCUGGCGUGACGACAAUAUUAAUAAGUUCUUUUCUAAAAACUGUCAACUCAGACACCAAAAGAAGGCCUCUCGAAGGGAAAAAUGUAGGGGAAAGGUUAAAUAUAAAUAGGAUAUUAGGACAAAUCACACAGAUUGAGCUAGCCCCAAAGAUUGUUGUAGUGGACUUCCAGCAUGACGAACUUGUUCUUGUCAGGUCCGCCGAGCGGCAGCCCCGCCUCCUCCGGGUACGUGAACGGUGGCGCCCCCAUCGCCCACGCUGACUUCACCUUAAACAGUUUACAAAAUAUAUAGAGUCUAUCAAAGUUACCUCAUGAAGAGUAGUCGCUUUUGUCCGCGGAUACUAUGUGCGUCCGCUUUUAAAAUAUUUUUGUCAAUGUUUCGAGUUCUAAGCAUAGUAUCGCGAUGAUAACUAUUCCAGAUUUGCUGAACACAUUAAUCAACCAAAAUAAAAAGACACUGAUGACAAGUAAAUUUAAUAUAAACCCGGGCAAUCUUUAAAUUCCUUUCCUUACAUAAUUAUUCCUAUAAUUAAGUCGAUACUUUCUUUUCUCUUUUACAUUAUGAUCCAUACAAAACGGAGGUACUAAUCCUUACCUUUGAACAAGUCUUGGUGAUUUCUGGCCUUUCUGGGGCGAAGCAGUUCCCUUCAUACAACGGGAUUUCCUUCUUUGGAUCUGUGUCGCAGUAAAACAGCUCCAUGUGAUGCACUAACCCCUCGUUCCCUCUUGUGAUCGUUGAUUGGAACUGUAGUGUCAUCGCUGGGCACUUUCAAGUUUUUGUUCGUGAAGCGCAGUUCGUGACCUUCGGCUUUCCUGCGGCCGGGCGGCGUCAGCAGGCGGACCCUGAUGAAGCCAUGGUUCUGUGGCGUUGUGCACGUCAAGCAGAGCCCUUGAGAUGAGAAUAGCUUGUCGUCACCACGCGCCCAUACUACGUGGACUGUACCGUCCUGAAAUAUUGGAUAUUUUAUCAGUAUAAAGUUUGUUUAGUAGCUACAACAUGUCCCACUUCUGGGCAAAAGCCUCUCCACGCAUCCCUGUCUCCAGAGACAUACAUCUACCUCUUACAUCAUCUUUUACAUCCAUCUCUUGUCGAAAUCUUUAAGUUCAUCCGAACAUCUAGUCCUAAAUCAUAAUAUUAAAUACUUAGUAUUAUCGUGAUGCAGUUUAUACAGGGUACUGUAGCAAAAGAUCAGGCUAAUUGUGGGCAAAUAACACGACACGCCCAGAGGUCAGGCGUUUAUAGAUUUCGGUAAGUGCUUACCAUCAGGUGGCCUGCAUGUCUACACUUGCUUAUAUCACAGAUUAUGUAAUAGAUUUUGUGAAUUAGGUACGCUAAAAUGCCAAAUACUCAGUUGGAAAUGAUUUAUAUGUUGUGUUCUAAAAUAUUACGUGGUUUGUUUUAGUUAUUUAUGUCAUAGAUGCCGACAUACCAAAUUAAAUCUCGUAUUCUUAAU